UCAAAAAUCAAGCAAUGCUCCCAGCUCACCAGCCACUGCAUGAGACUUAGAGCAUUCAUCAUGGGCCUGUUAAACUUGAGGGCUCUGGAGUUCUGGUUCAGUCACCUACAGAGUCAAAAAGAUUUGUUGGCUUCAUAUUACCAUUCAUGGGGGUUCUUGUCAAUGACCUUAGGCCGGUGUCAGCCCAUGUUUCAGGAGCUGCUGCUCCUGCUGCAGCCUCUCUCUGUGCUGCCCUUUGACCUGAACUUACUGAUGGAGCCGCGCUUGUUCCAGCACCGUCUGCUCUGUUCAG